UCCCUGGUGGCUCAGAGGUUAAAGCAUCUGCCUGCAAUGCAGGAGUCUGGGGUUUGAUCCCUAGGUUGGGAA
rnacentral:tRNA from 1 species